CAGGGAGACAACAAAAUGUUUAAUAUUAUUAUUUUGUCACCUUAGGUCGAUCGGUAUCUCACGUUCUUAAUUAAUUAAGAAUUUCAUUUCCUAAGUUUUUCUAGGUCACACCCAUUAUUUUUCCUGGGCCAUUAGCUCAGGUGGUUAGAGCGCACCCCUGAUAAGGGUGAGGUCCCUGGUUCAAGUCCAGGAUGGCCCAUAUCUCUAUGUUGGGGGUAUAGCUCAGUUGGUAGAGCGCCUGCUUUGCAAGCAGGAUGUCAGCGGUUCGAGUCCGCUUACCUCCACUGAUUACCACCUCUUCCAUAAUCUGUAGAAAGGAAAUUUUUUGAGUUGUGAUCAAAUUCUGAACGAAUCUAGCUUCCUAAUGAAAGCAUUAAGAUGCUGGACUCAUUGAAUUAAUUUCAUUGUUUUCAGAGAACCUUGACAACUGCAUAGAUUAUUUUUUUAAAGACAAUAAGCAUCUUUAAUGAUGCAGAUUUAUUAUUUGUGCGAAUGCAUUAAUAACAAUUCUAUUAAGCUGAUGCUUCAAUUUUGAAGUUAUU
rnacentral:tRNA from 1 species